rnacentral:lncRNA from 1 species
ACAAAUGUAUUUUUUGGUGGGAAAAUGUUGGCCUAUAAUUAGAAGGUGUUUGUGCAAUGGUUAUUUCGCUCUUUAUAGCUAAAUAGUCUGUAAUGCUUUGCAGUGUGGUUGGUUCAUAUACCGACUUUUGAGGAUUAUACACUCGAAUUUGUUUAUCUUAAGGGUGAUAUAUUAUACAAAAUUUCUUCUUUAUGUUUUGGAAGAGCUCCGAAAUAUAAUUUUAGGUAGUGUUUGGUUCGGGAACAAGGGGGAGAAUAAGCCCUUAUUCCCCCCUUUGUUCCCAAACGCAGCGUUUGGUACCCGAGAACAGUAGUUUCUGGGUUUAUGGAACUAGCCGGUAUAAGGCUGGAACUGUUGUUCCACCUUUUUCCUGAAACAAGCUUGUUCCCGAAUGAGAACAAGAUUAAUUAAAGUCUAAAUUUAAAUUUUAAUGAUAAUAAAUUAUUAAUUAAUCUAAUUAAUAUAUGUAAAUCAUUAUCCAUUGCUUAAAUAAUAAAAUAAAUAAAUAAAUAAAUAAUUAUAAUUAAUUAUUUAUAAUUAGAUAAUAAUAAUUAUUAAUUUAAUAAUUAUUAUUUAUUAAUAAUUAUUAAUUAAAUAAUAAUUAUUAAUAAUUAUUAUUCUUAAGAAAUAGAUAAUCGAUAUUAUUAUUAAUUUAUUAUUUAUAAUUAAUUAUUAAUAAUUAGAUAAUUAUUAUUAAUUAAUUUAUUACUUAUAAAUAAUUAUUAAUAGUUAUUAAUAAUUAAUUAAUUAAGUAAUAAUUAUUAAUAAUUUAUUAAUAAUUAGUUAAUUUAUUACUUAUAAAUAAUUAUAAAUAAUUAAUAAUAAUUAAUUAAUGAUAAUAAUUAAUAAUUAAUAAUUAAUAAUUAUUAUUAUUUAUAAUUAUUUAUUAAUAAUUUAUUUAUUAUUUAUUUUUAAGUAAUAUUUUGAUGUUAAUUAAUUAGAUAAUAUAAUGUUAAUUUCAAAUUAUAACUUUUAUUCCUCUUGUUCCAAUUUAACCAUCCAAACGCUAUUUACCUUAUUCUUAGAAACAACUCAAUUUUCAUCCAAACGUAAAAUUGGUCUAGCUAGUUCCUGCUUAUACCUGAACUUAUAUCUAUUCCUGGAAUAAGCAGUUCUUACUUAUACUUGAACCAAACGCAGCCUUAGAUAUCAAAAUAAAAAGCUAUAUUUUAAAACUUUUACUACAAUAGGAUGCUGAUGGAGUGUUUUAAGAAAAAGUUUUUAGCACUUACACGUGUUCAACUAAUUAACCCUAGUAACUCUUAACCACACUUUUAUAUGAAGAAUUCUACAAACAUAAACAAAAAAGGGAUUAAAAAAAAAAGAUGAAAAACUUCUUGUCCACAUCAAGGGAUUUUCAUGUACAGGUAUUUCUGGUAUAUUUGGGUAGCUAUAGGCCACAAGGUUUGCUUCCUCUUUGGAAAAACUUACAUUUCAUAGUGGCAAUUCACAUGUUAAUUCUCAAAGUGCAUGGAAUUCCAUGGACUUUCUAGCUCCAAACAAAAGGAAUGGAAAAAUUUAAGUGAAUGAACUAGCAGGUGGAGUAAAACUUAUUAAGCUCUCCGAAUCAUCACCUGGCAUUACUAAAUAUACAUAUACCUAACUCAACUUGGCAAAAUGUACUGGACUUGCACUUUUGUAGCUCUCAAUCACUCUAUUUAUGAGAAAGAUGGUUAGCUUAAGAAGGUGAACAAGGAUUGGGAGAUAACCAUUGGGGUGUGAGAUGAAGGGGAUUAAUUCGAACUUGAGCCAAGUUCAUAUGCGAUCGAUUGGAUCGGGAUUUCUCCUCGGAUGCUUUACUAUAUUGUUGUUCUAUUUCACAACGUAUGAUCGAUAUGUGAGUCUAGGUGCUGGUAAGUGUUCAUCACUCAGUUUGUAUUCUGAUUAAUUGAAGCCUAGUAAGAGGUAUGACACGAGCUACGAGUCUUUUAUUCUUUUGAGGUGAUUAUUAUGUUGAGUUUUCUCGAGUAUAAGCAACUGAAAUACCGUUCUCUAGCUGCUUGAGUUGCUGGAGAAACAACAGCCUUUUCACAUAAAGAGGAGGCUCUGAGAUUGUAUUUUGCGAGACUCUCCUACCCCGAUUUAAUUAAUUUCUCUUAUAUGAUAUUGUGAUUCAAGUGUUGGCCUUAUGGUCAAAAUCCGCCCACAUAUAAGAGAGAGUGUUGAUUAUAAAAGAUAAGAAGCACCGUUCUCUAGCAGCUCAAGUUGUUAGAGAACAAAUUCUGUUGAAUAUUUUGUUUUAGUUAAGCGACUAAUCAUGUAAUUGGCUUGCAGUUGAUUUUGAAGGACCAUCAAUUCACGCGAGUUCUAAUCCUUCGGAAGAGAAGAUAAACUCCGAAAAAUUAGGUAAGCCUGAGUUUUCAGUUUUUUUUUUUUUUUUGAGAAAAAGGUAACACGCUACCCGUUUCAUUCAUUCAGAAUAUGAACUUAGCUACAUGGGUGAGGCAACAAGGCCUCUAAAGAGAUGAAAAGCCGGACAAAGAUGAAAAAAAAAAAAAAAAAUCAGUGUCUUAUACUAUUUCAAGCUUUAGAUACCACUAGAAUAGUACUAGGUCUGUGAUGAAUUGAGAAGUACACUAUUUAAUAAAAAAUGUGCAUGCAAGUGCGUGCAGGGCAAGGCUUGACAAAUGCAGUUGGAGUAGAGCUUUUCGCGAAUCUUUAAUUAAAGCUUGACAAAUGCAGUUAGAGUAGAGCUUUUCGAGAAUCUUUAAUUAAAGUUUCCACUAGUUGGAGACACAGGCGAAAGUUUCAAAUUAGAGUUUCAUCUUUCGAGUUUGGUCGAUAUUUCGGUUUCCUGCUUUAGCCAGAAGCUCUAGAUACUUGCCUUCGAACUUUUGACUUCUGCUUCUCGAUUAGUAUUGGGAAGCUAGACCAAAUAGGCACAAACCAAUGAAAAGAUGCAGUGAUGAGAUUUUUCAGAUUCACGUUAUAUGUUAUCCUCUUUCUCGUCUAUCAUGCUGAGAGUCUGAAUAAGUUGAAGCGUCACUUGAGCGUCAGAAUAAAGAGGAUGGAUCGAAGAAAAUUCAUCAGUAUCUAGCCAACCUACUGUUUGUGUUUUUUUUCAGUACUUUGACCAAUAUAUAUAUANAUAUAUAUAUAUAUAUCUAAUAUAUGUGUAUAUGGGAUCAUGUUGUAGGAGGUGAACAGGUUGAAAAUGUGAAGCCUCAGAAGAAACUAAUCUGCAACUUCGCAGAUCGAAGAUCUGAUGUGUGUGAAAUGGACGGCGAUGUUCGUAUUCAUGGCAAUUUUUCUUCUAUAUACUUUAUUAAUUCCAUCGAGAGCGACACUUCAGUAACAAAUGAGACUUGGCAAGUCAAGCCUUAUACUCGAAAACACGACCGCAACUUAAUGGAAAGAAUUCGAGAACUUACCAUCGCAUCUUCGCAUAGUCCUUUUGAUGCCCCUACAUGCACUGUAAAUCAUAGCAUCCCCGCCGUUGUAUUCGCGACAGAAGGAAUAACCGGAAACUUCUACCAUGCCUUCACUGAUUUAUUGAUUCCUCUCUUCAUAACUUCUCGACAGUUCGACGGUGAAGUUCAAUUCCUUAUAUCACAAAUGCUUAUCCGGUGGGUUCACAAAUACGAAAGGAUUCUUAAGAAGCUCUCGAACUACGAAGUUAUCGAUCUCGACAAAGAAGUUAAAGUUCAUUGUUAUCCUCAUGCAAUUGUAGGCCUACACAGCCACAAGCCUCUAAGCAUCGAGCCCUCGCGAGCUCCGAAUAACUAUUCCAUGGUCGACUUCGCAAAGUUCAUGCGGACGGCCUACGCUCUAGAUCGAGAUUCAUCGAUAAGUCUGCGCGAAAACCCUAGAACCAACAAGCCAAGGCUUUUGAUCAUAGCAAGGAAUCGCACUCGACAGCUAGUAAAUAUUGACGAAGUUGCUCGAAUGGCGGACGGGCUAGGGUUCGAAGUUGUCCUCGAGGAGGGCUCGUCCUUGAGAACGGUGGGGCAGUUUGCGCAGAUCGUGAACUCGUGUGAUGUGAUGAUGGGUGUUCAUGGCGCGGGCCUCACCAACUCUAUCUUCCUUCCUACUAAUGGAGUGCUCAUACAAGUAGUCCCCUUUGGUAUGCUUGAGGCCGCGAGUAUGGUGGACUUUGGGAUACCUGCAGGGGACAUGAAGUUAAAAUACUUGCAAUAUAGCAUAAGUGAAGAGGAGAGCACUCUCAUAGAGCUUUAUCCAAGGGACCACCCUGUGCUUAGAGACCCCAAGUCAUUGCACAAGCAAGGAUGGUCAGUCUUGAGCAAAAUAUACUUGCGUCAGCAAAAUGUGAGGCUUAAUGUCACAAGGUUUAGGCCUGUUUUAGUGGAAGCAAUGGGGCUUCUUAAUUAGUCAAUAGCAAUAAUGCUAUGGUUUGAUGUGUUUAUGGGGUGUGUGCAAGCAAUUUGAUUUAGACAAAGGAGUUUUCUUGGUUUAAUGUGUGAUUUUUAUCAGGUUAUAAAGAUUAAAAAUUAAUAAUUACAUCACUUCUGUAUUAUUCUUUCUUUUUUAAAACAAAUAAAAGCUCAACUCUCUCUCUCUCUCUCUCCUCUAGAGCACAAACUUGUAAAUUUCAUGUAAUACUCCAAGUGAAACAUGAAAACAUGAUGAAGUUGGGAAAGCAUUGAAUCAUGUAAACCUAACAGGGGUUCGAAUUCAAGGAACUACAUAGAAUUUGUGAAGGCCUUAAUGAUUCAUUGCUUUUGUGAGACCUUACUUUUCAGAGGGUCACCCAUCUAAAGACUACUUUAGUCCUAACACGCUUAAUUCUUUUAAUCUUUUGGGCCUAGUACAAUGCAAAAUGCUAUAGCUAGGUUAAGAGGUUUAGUCUUAUAUAUUAUAUAUCAUAUAUAGGACUAUUCCAAAUUUUAGGGUCAUAUUCCUUUCCUCUUUAUGCCUUGAUGUUCUUGUCAGGCUCAAUCAUACUCACAAGGACCAUAAUAUGUAAGACUCAUCUUGCUAGUUUUAGCCGACCUUGUGGGGAGCCGAACUCCAUCCACAAUGGUCGUCAACGGGGGUCCUCGUGCUCUGCCUGUUGUAUAACUCUGGAUCAAUCGAGACGUAUCUCACACUUCCGGCUUAGCCGACUUUGUGGAGGAGCCGCACUCCAUUCACAACGAUCAUCAGCGGGGGAGCAGUGCUCUACCUGCGGUAUGAUCCUGGCUCAACCGAGAUUUAUCUUAUACUUUUGGCUUAGCCGACCUUGUAAGAAUGCGCACUUCAUCCACAACAGUAGUCAGCAGGGGAGCCGUGCUCUGCCCACUGUAUGACCCUAGUUCAACCAAGACUCAUCUCAUACUUUCGGUUGCUGAUUGGCUCUAAUACCAAAUGUAACGACUCAAUCCACUAACAAUAAUAACUCAUUGAGCCCAAACCAUCGGCCCAAAAUAUUUAAACUCAGUUAUUAUAAUUAGAGUUCCUUGUCUCUUAUACUCUCAAACACAAUCGUAUCUCCAUUCGAUGUGGGACUAUUGGAGAGCCACAGACUCCCCCUAGUUUAGACUCUGACGUUUUCGUCAGUCUAAUCACACACAUAUCCCAAGAUCACUAUGGAAAAAUCAAAUUCGUUGUUGUUUUAAUGAACGAAGGCCUCAUUCAGGUCUAGCAUAUGUAUUUUUAAGACUAUUUCUACACCUGUUUCUUAUCGGAUCUAUCUUGUAGGAAUCAUGAAUAUUCCAUGCCAGUCCUAAAAUCUUUCAGUUGCAACCACAUCAGUUAUUUAUGGACUAAACCCUAAUACUUUACCUCUUUGAUUACGUCUCUUGUCAGUGAGUUGAGGCCUUUAUUGGGCAUUGUAAUAGCCCAAUCCACUAUUGAGUUGAGACCUUUGUUGGGCAUACUUUACCUAAUUUCAUUACUUCUCUUGUCAGUGAGUUGAGACCCUUAUUGAGCAUUGUAAUAACCCGACCCGCUAUUGAGUUGAGACCUUUGUUGGGCAUUUUAAAGACCCGAUCUGAUGGUAAUAAUAACUUGUUGGAACCAGGCCAAAAUACUUAAGCCCAUUUAUUAUUACUAGAUUAUAUUCAGUCUGGUUAUCUUGACAUCAGCCCAUCACACAAAUAGCCCAAACGAGGCAUGAGAUAUCUCUGAUACUAAAUGUAACGACUCGACCCACCAACACUAAUAAUUCGUUGGGUCCAAACUAUUGACCUAAAAUACUUAAACCCGACUGGGGUUUAUGGUCCUUUAUAUUUUCAAACACAAUCCCUUUUCUAUCUGAUUCGGGACUAGCUAUUAGGGUGUCGUGGGCAUGCUUCUUAUUAGAUCGAUCUUUUGGUUACCGGAAAUCACCUGUCUCACUCCAUAUCUUGCCAACUCGACUUUUGAAAAUUGACGUAAAAUGGGACCCGAAUCGUCAAAUAAAAAGGCCUGGUCCAUACACACAUCUACAUGUUAGCAUGCUUACAUCUUCUCAUCACUUGGCUCGAGAUCGAGCUCCAUGUAGACUUGGUUUACUCACAUGUUACAUAGCAAGAUGUGUUUGAGUGUUCUAAUAUUUGGCUUGCCCUGGUGCAUUUGAAAAUGAUCCUCUCCUAAAUUUUGUUUACGAAUCUAACUAAUCAUGUUUAAAUAUCAUUCGAGGAACUAUUCUUUUUCUGAAGUAUCGUUGUCACAUCAGCAAACACAUAUUUAUAGCGAGGAUUCGUCAUGUUUAGCAUGUGUGAAUUAGUCACAUAUUCACAAGCCUACAUUUGUCACGGUAAAGGAAAAAAGAAAGAAUACCUCAGAUUCUAAAUAAAUUAGGCUUUGUUCCACUAAUGACUUGUAGCUAGCUAGGCAGAGUCAAUUUGACAAAUAAGCUUUAGGAGGAGGUUAUUUUCAGACACCUUAGUCACCUAAUGAUUCUUUCUUUAUUAACUAUAAAAAAAGGAAAAUUGGCUACUGAAACAUUUCUCCUAAAGGCUAAAUUGAUUUUUUGGUCCUUAAACCAUGAGGGGUGUGACAUUUUGGUCAUUGAAUUUUAAUUUAUUAUAAUUUCUAAAUCAAUCUUUCUAAAAUUGAAAUCAAAUCUCAUAAUAUAAUUUAAUUGACUAAACAGUGUAUAUGCGUUGUUGGUACGGUGAUAAUGUGACAUCUUAGUCAUUUUCACGCCUUCAACCAUAAUACUGCUAUAUCACUGUCACAUUAGUGAAUACUCAGCAUUUAGUCAUCUAAAUUGCACUGUGGGAACCGACCGUCCCGAGAGCUAGUGGCAAAGGGUUUGAUGGUUGGUAUCCGAGACCCAAGUUCGAAUCCUAGUUGAUUCACAUUUCUAGCUAAGUUUUUUUUUUUAAUGAAAUAAACGAAGCGGGUAACGUGCUACCUAUCUCAACAAAAAAAAAAAAAAAUUGCACUGUGAGGCUUGAUUGUAAAAAAAUUUAAAAACUUUGAGCCAGAAUUUGUAAUAAAUUAAAGUCGGAGACCAAAAUAUGAUGCGGCUCAUAGUUUAAGGACCAACCAUGCAAUUUAGCCAUUCCUAAAUUUGUCCUCUAAUUAAUAAAUGAGACCUAGAUCUGGGGCUCAAUUUAAGCAGCUGUUUAAAGCUCAAGCAUUGUUUACUGAGAUUAAAAAUUUUCCAAUAGAUAUUCUGUCAGCUAAUCAAUAAAAUUUCAGAUGAAAGUGAAAGCAAGAUUCUAAUCUCAGAGUCAUUAACCAAGUGAGAUUAAGAAGUUUAUCAACAUUGGCAAGUUAGGCAUUGUUUUGACAACUACUGGUAGAAUUUUUGAACUGUAGACUACCAAUCAAGAUUUAGAGAGAGAGAGAGAGAGAGAGAGAGAGAGAGAGAAAGCAAAUUGGAGAUUACUAACUCUGGUAUUCUCUUGAUAAAGUUUUGUCUGUGUUACGACGAGCGCACGAACAGAAACGAAAAAUGACGAACGUGAAGUAGACAAAGCACAAACAGAAAAUAAAAUAAAUACACAGAUUUACGUGAAAAAUUUUCUACAAGAAAAAAAUUGCUGGCGAGGGAGGAUAGAAUUCACUUGCAAAAAAGGGAAUACAAUCAAUGUUCAGAAGAUUACAAUACGUUUCAUCACGCUUAGGGCAAAAGAGGAGAAGAAAAUUUUUUAACGGGUUCUUCUUGAGGGGUCAGAUCCCGAGCCCUCCACUAUCCGCCAUGGACAUCUAUUUUUCCUUCACAAGUUAUUUUCCCAAAAAAAUCUGUUGCACCGCUAAACUGUGGCCAAAUCUGGGGGCCCAAAAUCAAAGUCGAUAACUAAAUUUCGAGGCAUCUUUAACAGUGUAAGUAGUGUUAUUAGAAGAAGCAUUAUACAGAUUUACCUCCAACAACUUUUUCCUACAACAAAAUCACGGGUCCAUGGAGAAUGCUGCCACUACAACAAAAACGGUCUAUAGCGACACUUUUAAAUGUAGGUACAUGUCAAAAAAGUGCUGCUAGCUAAAAUUACCGACACUUUUAAAAAGCGUUGCUAUAUGUGGGGUCGCUAGGCAUAUAGUGACAGUUAAAGAGUGUCGUUAUAACCUAAAAGAGUGCUGCUAAUUUUUCAACACUUGUUUAAGCAUUUAGCAACCACCGAAACUCUAUCUCGUUGGCUGCGGUGGCGGAUGAGGAUGACAGUAAAGGCUCUUCGUCUAGAAUUUCAGUGGAUUGAGUGAAGAGAGAAGAAAAGAUGGUAAUUGAUUUUUCUUUUUUUUUUUUCUUUUCUGUUUGUAAUCGGGCCAUAUGGACUGGGUGUGGUGGGUUGAGUAGAGUAAUCUUUUAUUUUUGGUUCGAUUGGGCUUUAUAUUUAGGCAUUAGUAGAUGUGUUUUUAAGUUUUAGCAUAAAUGGGACACUUACUUAAAAGUGUCCCAAACAUGUGUCUCUAUAACUUAAUUCUGUUGUAGUGUGCUGUUGAAAUUAGAAGUAGAAGCUGAAGUUGCCAAACAACUAAACAAGCCAAUCAGAAAAUGUACUUCUCAAGUUGACCUACACAAGUUUUCUGCCAAACAAGCCAUCAUGAAUUGCUCUUCUCAAAUUGACCUGAAUCAUUUUUCUUUGAUUGUACUGCCUACCAUCCAUGAAUGUGACAUCCAACCACUUCACCACUGCAUGCCAUUUUAACAUCCCAUGUGUUUUAAACUUCCCAAAAUUGCAAGUUGUACUAAUGAUGCCAACAGGUCAGAUUUUUAAAAAUUCGAACCUGAAUGCGAAUCCGACUAUUAAACCUGAAAUCUAAACCCGAACCCGAAUGCGAUGGAGGAUUUUAAAAGUCCAUAUCCAAAUCCGAACUCGACCAAAAAUCCGAAACCCAAAUACAAACCUGAAAAUCCGAAUCCGAAGCAAUUAUUUCUCUUUACCAUAAUUCAAAAUACAUUACAUUAAAUACAAAUUCAAGUAUAACAUCAAAUAUAUAUAUUAUGUAAAAUCAAUUCGCGUUCGGGUUCGAGUUGGGUACAGAUAAAAUCCACAUCCGAAUCCAAAUUUGUCGAAUUUUAUUUUUUUUAUAUCCGUAUUCGAAACUAUAUUCGUUUAGUAUCAAAUAAAUCAGUUCCGUUCAUGAUAAAAUUUCGAAUAUCCACCAACAAAUACUCUCUCUCUACAAUCACUUCCUACAACUUGCUGCUCCCAAAUUAAAAGCAAUGUGUCCCCCCAGUCCCAUCCCUUGAAUUAAAGCUUUGAAUCACAACAAAAUAUUGUAGGCCCCCAAGCAUAUACAAUGGACUAACUACAAAGAGUGAAUCAAGCAAAUCUAUUUACCACAAUAAUUAAAUGAGAGAACCUUUUGUGAGCUUCACUCCAUUAAGUAUAUUCCCCUCCAAAACUUUUUCAUAAGAUCGAAGAGAGGCAUACACAACAUUCUCAUGAAAAUGGGGCAUGACAUGAAGCAUGUGAGGAGCUGCUGCUGCCGGAUCGAGCUGCAGAAGUUCGGUUUCGGGCUUGUCGCGGGGUGUCUUCUAGUCUCAUUGGCAUAUGUUUCGGAGUUCAACUUCGACGCAGUUUCAUUGUGUAAGUUCAUCAUUUUGUUGCAGUUUCUUGCCCUUCAUUACUCAGUUUUGUCCACCUUAAUAGCUCUGUUCUUAUACUUGUUACUGUAUAUUUUGCAGUGAAUUCAACAUCAUCAUCUUCACUUAGUGUAGCUCCUUCGAGCCAUCGGGUCGAAGAUAUUGUUACUUCUCAACAAGUAGGUAAGAGAAUAAGAUCUUCGAGAAAGAAAGGAGAUUGUAAAAUAAGCUACAAAUAAUGCAGAUCAGGCUCAUCUCUACAAUGUUUUUUGGUUCAUUAUUUAGUUUUCAUGUAUCAGUGAAGAUUACUUAGAUAGUAUCAAACAGUUAGGUGGUCUUUCGCAAUUUUAAACCACUUUUUAAAUUCAAAUCAGCAUCACAGUGCAGAAUAUGGAUUUAUUGGUGAAAUUUUAAGAUCAUUUCUUUGUCCACUAUACAGUAAGAAAGGAUGAAAAGCAAGAAAUUAGCCUGCAAUGUAAACUUUGUGAGAUAGAAAAUGCUGCUGCUGCUGCUGCAAACAAUGGUUCCUACGCAAUUGAUUCGCUUUGGAAAACAACUACUACAUUUGAAGCAAAGCCAACAACAGGUAUACUAGUUCAGUUUCUAAACCUUUAAUAGUGAUUGGUAAAUCUGAGCUAUCAUGAAUCAGAGUGUUGCUUUCAAAAGAGUAAUUGAUAACUCAUGUUCAAUUCUUUUAUUUUGUUUGAAGAUGAAAGAAGCGAGGAUUCAACUCUCGAGAAGAAGCCGAUGAUGUGCGAUUUUUCGAACAGUAGAACAGAUAUAUGCGAGAUCGAAGGCGAUGUAAGAAUCUCGGGGAAAAAUUCAUCCAUUUUCUCAGUUAGUUCACCGGAAACCGACGGUCCGUAUGAAAACGAAACAUGGCGGAUCAAACCGUAUCCGCGCAAGGCGGAUAAACAAGCAAUGAGUAAUGUGAAGGAAUUGACAUUGAAAUCAUUGAGCUCUUUCAAAGAGGCUCCACAAUGCACUGAUCGUUAUGACGUGCCCGCCGUAGUUUUCUCGGUUCACGGUUUCACCGGAAAUUACUUCCAUGCAUUCACCGACGUGUUCGUCCCUCUCUUCGAAACUGCUCAUGGAUUCAACGGGGAGGUCCGGUUCGUUAUCACGGAUUUUAGAGCUCGGUGGAUUCACAGGUUCCUUCCGAUAUUCAAAAGCCUCUCGCGGUACGAUAUGAUCGACCUCGAUAACAACGACGGAGUUCUUUGCUUUCCGCGUGCCAUCGUAGGCUUGAAAAGCCACAACGAGUUGAGCAUCGACGCUUCUCCGUCGCCCAAGGGCUAUUCAAUGGUCGACUUUCUGAGAUUCAUGAGGGGCGCGUAUUCGCUCAAGAGAGAUUCGGUGGCGGCGGUCGGAAUAAGAAGGCCGAGGUUACUGAUCAUCUCGAGGGAGAGAACAAGAAAACUCGUGAAUGUGAAGGAUGUAAUUCGCUUGGCGGAGAAACUGGGCUACCAAGUGGUGGUGCCAAGGGCUCAAAAGGAUCUGGCUCAGUUCUCACGAGUCGUGAACUCGUGCGACGUGAUGAUGGGUGUUCACGGCGCGGGCCUGACGAACAUCGUCUUCCUCCCGACGAACGCGGUUUUGAUCCAGAUAGUCCCUUGGGGGGGACUGGAUUGGGUUGUGAGGACGUGCUUCGGCGAACCAUCAAAGGAAAUGAAGUUGCAGUACCUGGAGUAUAGCAUUAGUGAAGAGGAGAGCACUCUAAUAGAACAGUACCCUCGAGAUCACGCCGUGUUUACGGACCCCGCGUCGAUUCGCAAAAGAGGUUGGGUUCCUAUGAAGGAAGUGUUUUUGGACAAGCAAGAUGUGAAUUUGAAUCUGAGCAGGUUUAAGCCUGUUUUAGAGAAAGCUCUUGAGCUUCUCCAUACAUAGUAUAUAGAUUAUCAUCUUCAUUUAGGUUUGUUUUUUUGUUUAUAAUUCAACGAAAUUUUUUUAUCUGUUUCGAGUGUUCAUCCAUUUGUUUCCUGUAAGGUGGGGGAAAAUGUUUGCGUAAUGUAGAACUUUAAGAACAAAAUUUCUUGAUGAUUACGUGCAUUAAUUACUUACAUAAUAUACACAAAUCAUUUACUUCUACACCUUUUUUCUUUUCCGGACAUACUCAUCAAUUUCUGUACUAAUUGUAUUAAUGAUAUGUACUGAUGGCUUUAAAAGUGGGGAAAACUUCAAAUGUCACUCGGGUGGUUUCACACUUUUUUACUUUAAUAUUCUGUGGUUUAAAAUGUAUCAAUAUAGUGCCACGUGAUUUUAUUUUUAUUUUUUUAUUAUCGAUUUCACUAAUUUUUUUUCGUUAAAUCGGUGAUAAAGUUAAAACAAAAGGGUACUAAAGUGAAUAUUCGAUAAACCUAUGUGGGAUAUCUGAAAUUUUUUGUAUAUAAUUUAACAAAAUAUUAACGAAAAAAGUGGCGAAAAGAUAAAAAUGAAACCACAUAACACUAACUUGGUAUACUUUAAACCACAUAGUACUAAUUUAAACCACAUAGUACUAAAAUAAGAAGGUGCGAAACCACAGGAAUGGCAUUUAAAGUUUAUCAUUAAAAGUAAAAGAUAGUUAUUUUAUUUUAGGAUUAAUUUCAUACAGAUCCCUACAAACAUAACGAAUAUCAAAUAUAUCCUUAUAAAGUUCAACAUUCAUAUGUUGUUUCUACAAAAGUUCUAAUAUUUUCAAAUAUAUCCCUCUGAUUUGUUAUUGUUAAAACAUUGUUUAUUUUAUACGUGAAAUGAUCUUUUUGCCGUCACAAAUAUAUCCCUUUUAAUUAAAGAGGGGUAAAAAAUCAACUCAUUUCAUUAUCUAAUUAGGGUUAAGUAUUUUAUCUCUAUUAACUAAUUUUUUCUAAUGAAUUCUAACGACAUGAAUAUAUUUGAAAAUAUCAUGGCUUUUACAUAUAUGGACGACAAUUCACAAAAAUUUAUCACCAAAUUAUGAUAAUAUAUAAUUGUGCCGAAGUAAUGUUAGCUGUCUUCAUCAUGCAAUUUGAGUCCCACAUUGGAAAGUGACUCUUUUUUUCUUUUUUUCUUUAUUUUUCGAGAAAAAAGUAGCAUACUAUCCUAUUCAUUCAUUUUGGAGGUAAGCUUAGCUACAUGAGUAAGGCAACAAGGCCUCUAGGGCGGCGAAAAGAGCGUUGGUGGGUUGGAAAAAAAAAAAAAAAAAAAAAAAAAAACAUUGCUUUUACAAAUUUGGUAGAAAGAGAUUACUUUUACUAAUUUGACAGAAAGAUAUUUUCACUAUUGUGCUACAAUGAAAAUUUUGAACUAGGGUCAGAAACUUUUAUUAAGAUUGUGCGUGGUUCAACCAGAGCAAUAUAUUUAUUAUGCUAAUUUGGUUUUUAAACUUUCAAAAGUAAUUUAAAUUUGCAAAAUAGCGACAAAAAAUGUUGCAUUAGCGCAAAAAAGAUCAAAGAUGAAUAAUAUUAAAGUUUGAUUAGUACCGAAUUUUUUUUUUUGAGAAAUAGAUAGCACGCUAUCCAAUUUGUUUAUUUCAUUUAGAAAUAAAUUUAGUUGGAAAUAUGAAUCAACUAGGAUUCGAACUUGGGUCUCGAAUAUCAGCCACCAAGUUUUUUGCCAGUUGCUCUAGGAACGGUCGGUUCGAUGUUUUUUAAAAUUCGAACCAGAAUAGUUUCAUAUUUUUAGCUAAAUUUAUUUUUGAAAAAAACGAAAGUUGUAUACUAAUUUUCUCUCUUAAGAAAAUAUUAGUAGGAAGUUCAUAAUUUUUUUUAAAAUAAAAAUAUAGUUUGGUAUGUUACAAAGCUUGAGCCCGCCCUUACAAUGAAUGAUGUAAUAGUGAGUGAAGUUGUCCUACUCGUAGGGGCAUAUGUUCAUGGACAAGGACAAAUCAUAGGGGCAUAUGUUAUAGACAAGGACAAAUACUAGUGGUAAAUAGGGAUGUCAACGGGUCGGAUUCAGAACAGAUUUUUAAAAAUCCGAAUUCGACUCCAAACCGAGAUCGGAACUCGAAUCCGAAUCCAAAUCUGACGAAUUUUAAAAAUUCAUAUCUAAAUCCGAACCCGACCAAAAAUUCGAAACCCGAAUCGAAAAAUUUGAACCCGAAAUAAUAAUUUUUUUUUCAAUAUUUCAAAAUAUAUUACAUUAAAUCUAAAUUUCUAAAAUAAAAAUUUAAAUAUAACAUCAAAUUUAUAUAUAUAUAUAUAUAUAAUGCAAAAUAAAUUCUGGUUCGGAUCGGGUUUCGGUCGGGUUCGGAUACAGUCAAAAUCUAUAUUCAAAUCCAUGUCCGUCGGAUUUUUAUUUUUGAUAUCCAUAUCUAAUAUAUAUCCAUUUAGCACCGGAUAUAUCCGCUCCAUUCGGAUUCGGAUUCGAAUUCGAAUAAAAUUUUACGUAUCCGUACCCAUUGACAUCCCUAUUUAUUUUGUUCCGUUGGUGUAGCAUUUUAUUCCGUAUAACACUUAGCUCUCAUACUCUGAAAGGUAUUCGACUCUUAUAACAAUUGUAACGAUUCGACCCGCGAGCAAGGUAUUCGACUUUUAUAACAAUUGUAACGAUUCGACUCGCAAGCAAUAAUAACUUAUUGGGACGUCUGAAAAUAUUUAAGCACGAUUAUUAUUACUAGCGUAGAGGCUUUAUAUAUUUUAAUUAGAAUCAUUUUCCUAUCCGAUGUGGAAUACUUGGGGCGUUACACAUGAAGACCCUGUUAACUAGCUAAAAACCAUUUUAAAAUAAGUCCCUCAACUUUAUUAUUAUUUUUUUUUAAUUCUUGCCGACACUUUUUUAACUUUUAUUGGGUUUUUUUAUUUAAAUUAUUCUUAUUAGUUGAGUUAACAAUUUUGUUAACUGGAAUAAAUUCGUCUACUAUAUUAAUCAAUCAACACAUAAAAAUCCAUCUUUAUUUGGUUUGGGGAUAAGCAAGAACUGUCUAUUCCAGGAAUAGGUACAAAUUUAGGUAUAAACUUGAAAUAGUUCAAUUUUGCGUUUGGAUGAAAAUUGAAUUAUUUCUGCGAAUAAAAAAAAUAUCGUUUGGAUAGAUAAGCUGAAAUAAAAAGGAUAAUAGUAGUUAUAAAUAAAAAAUAAUGAUAUUGUCUUUUAUAUUUGAAUUUAAAUUUUUAAAUUUUAAAUAUAUAACUUUAAAAAUUAAAAAAUUUAAAAUAAAAUUUUAAAUUCUAAAUUUCAAAUUUAAAAAUUUAAAGUUCUAAAUUUAAAAUUUAAAAGUAAAUUUAAAUUUAAAAAUAUCAACUAUCAAAUUUUAAAUUUAAAAAAUUAUAAAUAAUAAUUUAAAAUUUAAAAUUUAGAAUUUAAAAUUAUAAAUGUUAAUUUUAAGAUUACAAAUUAUUAAAUUUUUAAAAUUUAAAAUUUAAAAUUUAAAUUAUAAAUUUAAAUUUAAAAAUUAAAUUUGGAUGAGAUUAGCGAAUCCCACCCCAAUUCCA